AGAGCCCACGUGAUGUGGACAUGGCCACGUGACGACGACAAGUGGAUCGACGUCGAGUUGGCUCGCGAGAGGGGUGGAUGGACGAAUAUACCCUUCCGCCCUGCGCUCCUCACCGGUGCCGCCCUCGCUUCUUUAAGUCCGCCUCCAUCGCCCGCUUCUUCCCCCAGUUCGAGUCGGCCACCGCAAGCGUAUGAUGAAUGUGCAUUAAAUUAACCAUUCCCUCCGUGCUCGUCGCCACACUCUCGGGCUCGCUUGGUGCAGGUCGGGAACCGAUCAGUCGGGGUUAGGCCGCCGGAUUCCGCCGCUGCCGACGCCUUAUCCGGUCCGCCCUCCCCCCGCUUUGGCUGGCUUGCUUCCCCACUUGCAUCAAGUGAAUUCGAGAAUACUUGGCGAAAAAGGAAGGCUCGCGAUUGGAUUAGGGUCUUCCAUCGAACCUUGUUCUCUGGUAGUGUUACUCUCUUGUGGUUUUUUCUCGGCUUGUCGAUGAAAGGUGGGCUUUUUUGCGGGAUAUGCAGCUACUUGGGCAUAUACAGAGUAAGAACAAGUUUACCUCUGUUGCUUUCUUCAGAUUCAAUCUAUAGGCAACGAGGUAAUUAUUCGACGCUCGAUCCAAGGCUCGCUUGCUCUUCUCAACUUACUACGUCAUCAUGUGUGUUAUUAUCAAGCUACUUCCUGGAAUUAAUCUGCUUAAGCUCGACCACCGACCGAGAAGGGAGUGCAGUGUCAAGAUCACUUUUAAGAUCCAAUGCGAAGUGCAGCGAAUCUAUCUAUUACAUGCAAUCGAACAUGUUGUUUACUCGUGCAAACUGAUUCGAUGACGCUCAAAAGUUGCGGCCAAAAUGUUCGCCCACGUGAAUCGAUGGAUCGGGUGCUACCGUGGAUCGAUGGACGUGACGGUCACCUGAUUCAGAGAAUGCAUUGUGGGUGAAUCAGAUCUUGCAGCGGAGGACUUGCGGGAGUCGGGAGUCGUCCUCAGCCUCGUGAAGGAUGGCGGCUCAUUCGGCGGCGGCAGCGGCAUCUGUUCGCUCUUCAACAUCACCAGCACCGACGAGAUGGUGGGUCGGUCUUCCGGGUUCUCCUGCACGCACAGCAACCCGACGUGGAAGCAGCGGCUUGCUUCGUUCGUAGGGUAGCAGUCUCCCAGCGAUGGAUCCAUGAACUCCGAGGCUCUGUCAUCGUCCCACAGCUCCCAUGCCUUCCCAUCAACAGAACCAGCCUUCAACACACCGUUCGUAUUGCUACGGAUAGAAGAAGAGGAGGAGGAGGAAAGAGACUGGUGGAGCAUACAUGUCUGAGGAGUGUCUGGCCAUGUCGCUGAACGUGUGAUCCCCCGUUCCUCUCCCCGCUCAGAAUCUCUAGCAGGAGAACCCCAAAGCUGAAGACGUCGGACUUCACAGAGAACGUACCUUGCAUCGCGUACUCCGGAGCCACAUAGCCACUGUUACGGAGAAAGAUUAGAUCGACGGACAGCGACUACAGCUACCUGUGUUCGACGAUGGCUUGCUGCUGCAAAUCACACUUACUAGGUUCCCACGACUUUGCCCGUGUUGACUUCGUGGUCUUCUCCCUCGAAGAUCUUUGCCAUGCCGAAGUCCGAUAUCUUGGGGUUCAUCCUGUUGUCCAGCAAAACAUUGCUGGCUUUCAGGUCCCUGUGAAUGACCCUGAGCAUGGAGUCCUCGUGGAGGUAGAGAAGCCCCCUCGCCACUCCCACAACGAUGACGUAUCGCCUCCGCCAGUCCAACUGAGACCUCCUGCUCGGAUCUGGACAAGCCAAACCGACGCCAAAUAUGAGAUCCAAAUUUCUAUUACCAUGCGAUACGAGAGCAGUGGAUUCACGAACCAAAUAGGAAGGCGUCCAGACUCCUAUUGGGAAGGUAUUCAUAGAUGAGAAGCUUCUCAUCCCUCUCCACGCAGCAACCCAACAAUCUCACAAGAUUCCGGUGCUGGAGUUUCGCAAUCAGCUGCACCUCAUUCUUGAACUCCACAUUACCUUGCCUGGAUUUCGUCGACAGCCUCUUAACAGCAACUUCCUGUCCUCCACGGAGCACCGCCUGUGGAUUUUCAAGCAAGCGGUCAGUCACCAUGGGAAGAACAGUAUCGAUAUAUCAAACCAUGCACUCAUCCCAGGAGAGAGACUCGUUACUCUGUAUACAGGGCCGAAUCCACCUUCACCGAGUUUCUUGACCUCGGAGAAGUUAUCCGUGGCUGCCUCUAUUGUGGAAAGAUCGAUCACGGACAGGUCUGAGCUUGAUAUGGGACCUAGGUUCUCGAUCUGAGCUCUUCUCACAGCUAAUGCAUCCACGAAGAACGUUAAGAAACUGACCAGAAUGGCAAAUUACAUUGGAAUCAUUGGGUGGUGUCUACCGUUGCGUCUUCUCCACCUCCAGCAAUAUAUGCAGUAGAUCAAAGCGCCGACGAUGACCACUACAAGAAUCGACACCAUGAUUGGCAUUGCGGAUGAACUCGAUUUCUUUUGGCUCCCUGCUGUUCCAAGUCAUAUCAAUAUUGUCAAUCCCAAAUCCAGUAGUAAUACCACACAGUCAUGCAACAGAAGCAUAUACGAAAGAAUCAUGGUCUCUCAAUUAAGAGGGCUCGUCAUCAGUCUGUCCGGUACAGAGAUCAUGCGGAAGGUGGAAGCAGUAAUAGGCCAACCUCCAUCGGUGGUGUUUGUUUGUGGAGGCGAAUUCAUCAAGCGGCGAUGCGACCGAUUAGCAACUUGGAGAACGCUUAUCGCCAUCUUCAUCGAAUUGGCUUCCGCGUCGAGGUUGGUGGCGCUGAGUCGAUCAGUAUCAGUACUUCCGAACCGGUUCUGGUAGGAGGAGCACAAGCAGAAAGAGGUAGACCAGAUAGCAUCGUUGGCUUAGAUCCUGGAACUCACCGCAUGCAUACAAGUUUGACGGGCUUCAGUCAAAGAAGAAAACAGAGACACAAGGGUCACCUGAGAAGAGAACAGAGAGGCAGGGGGAGGACGAAGGUGCCUCUUGAAUUGCAAAUUAUGAGCACCACCUCUUUAAGGGCACGCUAAUGCUUGGAUCUUCUUUCCCAGUAGGGCGGAAGCAGCGGCUAUUGUUGACGAGGAGGCGAUGACAAAGUUCUUUUCGCCUUUAGGGAGUGGAAGAGUCGGUAGCAAACGAGUGGCGGUGGCGGUGGCGGUGGUGGUGGUGGGUGACGAAACUGACAGCGAAGUCGAUACUCGGCUUCAGCAGAAGAUGAGAUGAACACGCCGCCCAGCAAUUCCUGAAUUUUAUGUGUAGAACCUGACGUGGCUAUCAAGCAAUUGUUGGGCUCCAAAUGGCCGCCAUUGGUGAGCUAAAGAUAGAUCCUCGCUGCCGAUGCAGCAGCAUCUGUGUGUGUCUCGCUAUUCAAGUCCAAUCAUUGUCCUACUUAGCAUUGAAAGUCCACAGACAGACAACACAUGCUUGGAAACCCAUAUAUUUCGUUGCAUCAUGCGUGAAUCAUGCGAAGACGACAAUAGAACACAUAGUUUUCGUCAUGCUAGUUUAAAUCACCAUUUUGAUGGAUCUUAGUUUAUCUA